UUUGAAGUCUGACCUGCCCAAUGAUGAUUAUUGAAUGGCCGCAGUAUUUUGACUGUGCAAAGGUAGCAUAAUCAUUAGUUUUUUAAUUAAAAGCUGGAAUGAACGGUUUAAUGAGAAAAGAUCUGUCUCGAAAUUAUCGACAUAGAAAUUUAUUUUUAAGUUAAAAAGCUUAAAUAUUUUAAAAAGACGAGAAGACCCUAUAGAGUUUGAUAUUUGUUUAAUAAAAUUUUAUUUUGGAUUUUUAUACAUUUUUAUUUUAAGAAUAUUUUGUUGGGGUGAUGUAAAAAUUUAAUUAACUUUUUUAAUAACAAAAACAUUAAUUAAUGAGUGCAUGAUCCUUGUAUUUGGAUUAAUAGAAAAAAUUACCUUAGGGAUAACAGCGUAAUUUUUUUUGAGAGUUCUUAUCGAAAAAAAAGAUUGCGACCUCGAUGUUGGAUUAAAAUUAAUUUUUGGUGCAGAAGCUGGAAAAUUAGGUCUGUUCGACCUUUAAAAUUUUACAUGAUCUGAGUUUAAACCGGCGUGAGCCAGGUUGGUUUCUAUCUUUUAAUAAAUAAGAUGUUUUAGUACGAAAGGACCAAGCAUUAAAAUUAUAUUUUAUUUUUUGAAUUAUAUUGUUAUUUUGGCAGAUUAGUGCAAUAAAUUUAGAAUUUAUAUAUGUAGAUUGAUUACAAAUAACAUUGUUUAUUCAAGAUUUAUUUAUAACUUUUUUUUCUAUAAUUAUUUUAAUUGUUUGUGUAUUAGUUGGAGUAGCUUUUUUA
rnacentral:rRNA from 1 species